UACGUAGGGGGCAAGCGUUGUCCGGAUUCAUUGGGCGUAAAGAGCGUGUAGGCGGCCAGGUAGGUCGGUUGUGAAAACUGGAGGCUCAACCUUCAGAGGUCGACCGAAACCAUCUGGCUAGAGUCCGGGAGAGGAGAGUGGAAUUCCUGGUGUAGCGGUGAAAUGCGUAGAGAUCGGAAGGAACACCAGUGGCGAAGGCGGCUGCCUGGCCUGAUACUGACACUGAGGCACGAAAGCGUGGGGGAGCAAACAGG
rnacentral:rRNA from 1 species